rnacentral:rRNA from 1 species
AUCUACGGCCAUACCACCCUCAACACUCCUGAUCUCCUCUGAUCUUGGAAGCUAAGCAGGGUUGGGCCUGGUUAGUGCUUGGAUG